CCUACGGGGAGCAGCAGUGGGGAAUAUUGGACAAUGGGCGAAAGCCUGGUCCAGCCAUGCCGCGUGUGUGAAGAAGGCCUUCGGGUUGUAAAGCACUUUCAGUGGGGAAGAAAGCCUUGGGGCUAAUACCCUCGAGGAAGGACAUCACCCACAGAAGAAGCACCGGCUAACUCCGUGCCAGCAGCCGCGGUAAUACGGAGGGUGCGAGCGUUAAUCGGAAUUACUGGGCGUAAAGCGCGCGUAGGCGGUCUGAUAAGCCGGUUGUGAAAGCCCCGGGCUCAACCUGGGAACGGCAUCCGGAACUGUCAGGCUAGAGUGCAGGUGAGGAAAGUAGAAUUCCCGGUGUAGCGGUGAAAUGCGUAGAGAUCGGGAGGAAUACCAGUGGCGAAGGCGGGCUUCUGGACUGACACUGACGCUGAGGUGCGAAAGCGUGGGUAGCAAACAGGAUUAGAUACCCGAGUAGUC
rnacentral:rRNA from 1 species